GAUGAAGAACGCAGCGAAAUGCGAUACUUGGUGUGAAUUGCAGAAUCCCGUGAACCAUCGAGUCUUUGAACGCAAGUUGCGCCCGAAGCCAUUAGGCCGAGGGCACGCCUGCCUGGGCGUCACACGUCGUUGCCCCCCCAUCUACUCCUUCGGGAUUGCGGGGGGCGGAUGAUGGCCUCUCGUGCGCCUCGUCGCGCGGUUGGCCAAAAUGCCAAGUCCUCGGCGACGCACGCCACGACAAUCGGUGGUUGCGAAACCUCGGUUGCCUGUCGUGUGCGGUCGUCGCGCAUCGAGGGCUCGAAAAAAUUGCCGGGCUUCGGCUCGACUUUCAACGCGACCCCAGGUCAGGCGGGGUUACCCGCUGAAUUUAAGCAUAUCAAUAAGCGGAGGA
rnacentral:misc_RNA from 1 species